rnacentral:misc_RNA from 1 species
UUGGGGGAUGCUAUGGCAG